AUGGAGAGGUGCGAGAUGGAUGUGGGGAGGAGCGGGCAUGGUGCAGUCUGCAGUGGCCCAAGGAGACGUUGGCCUGGCAGCGGCGGCGGGAGCGGUUGGAGGCGACCACGGGCAUCCAAUCGUCACGGCAAGGGGCCGGUGAUGUGGCUGCUCAAGGUCCGGUUCAUCUUGGAUGUCACGGAGACUCCUGCUUAA
rnacentral:rRNA from 1 species